rnacentral:rRNA from 1 species
CUACAAAUGAAUUGACGGGGCCCGCACAAGCAGUGGAGUAUGUGGUUUAAUUCGACGCAACGCGAAGAACCUUACCAGGAUUUGACAUCUCCUGACGACGGUAGAGAUAUCGUUUCCCUUCGGGGCAGGAAGACAGGUGGUGCAUGGUUGUCGUCAGCUCGUGUCGUGAGAUGUUGGGUUAAGUCCCGCAACGAGCGCAACCCCUAUUGUUAGUUGCCAUCAUUCAGUUGGGCACUCUAGCGAGACUGCCGGUAAUAAACCGGAGGAAGUGGGGAUGACGUCAAAUCAUCAUGCCCCUUAUGACCUGGGCUACACACGUGCUACAAUGGUUGGUACAACGAGUUGCGAGUCGGUGACGGCGAGCUAAUCUCUUAAAGCCAAUCUCAGUUCGGAUUGUAGGCUGCAACUCGCCUACAUGAAGUCGGAAUCGCUAGUAAUCGCGGAUCAGCACGCCGCGGUGAAUACGUUCCCGGGCCUU